GGGAGUUUGGCCGAGUGGUUAAGGCGCCGUGUUUAGGUAUUCCUCAAGAGUUUCUCUUGGUUUACUAUAAACCCGCGGUGGGAAACCGCGCAGGUUCGAAUCCUGCAGCUCUCA